UAUAUGGAGGUGUUUGAUGCACUUGGAAUUUUGAUUUCCACUGAUCAAGUUUGAUUCUUGACUAUAUAG
rnacentral:tRNA from 1 species